CUUAGGUUGAUCUCAAACUAGUAGACAAAUGAUUUUCCUGCCUCCGGCUCCCAAGUAGAACUGACCAGGGCCUCUGUGCCGGGUUCCCACAUACGCCUUUCAGCCUGGGUGGUUGACGAUGAGUUACUGGGAAGAUGACCUGGAGGAGCAACUUUGAUCUACUUCAUGAGCCCAAGAUUUUAGUGACUGUCGGGCAUGGAACAAAAUGGCAACAGCUAUACUAGCAGGGCAGGCAUCAACAGCCUGGAGCUGCCUUCUCUCCAUGUGAAGGGGGCCAGCUGUGUGCCUCUGACUUGAGGCUGCUGUUGCUGCUGGGAAUGAUAAAUCUGGCUCUAGUGCUCGUGGAGCCUGCCUUGAGCCCUGCCUAAGCCUGGGCUGCUGAUGAAAACGAUGAGCCUGGUGGGCACGAGCACGAGGUCAGACGUACGGGCUCUGCAUUAGGUGAUGAGCAGCUGUGAUCGGCCUCCUAAAGCCAACAUUGUUUUUCAGAUAAAGACCACUACAUCAAUUCUAUGAACAAGAUGGGAGAUCAAUAUAUAGAGGUACAUAUUUAAAUGACGAGUAACAGACAAAUGCGUAAGUGAUGACUCAAUAGGUGGGGUACGCCCCCCCCCGCCUGUCUACCAUAUGUUGCCUCUGUGAAGGUUCAAGGUCACUUUAUUUCAUAUUCCUGCCUCUCUGCAAAGAAUAAUUACAGGGCUGACGAGAUGGCUCAGCGGUUAA
rnacentral:sRNA from 1 species